rnacentral:rRNA from 1 species
GACGAACGCUGGCGGCGUGCCUAAUACAUGCAAGUAGAACGCUGAAGGGGGAGCUUGCUUCUCCGGAUGAGUUGCGAACGGGUGAGUAACGCGUAGGUAACCUGCCUGGUAGCGGGGGAUAACUAUUGGAAACGAUAGCUAAUACCGCAUAAUAGUAGAUGUUGCAUGACAUUUGCUUAAAAGGUGCAAUUGCACCACUACCAGAUGGACCUGCGUUGUAUUAGCUAGUUGGUGGGGUAACGGCUCACCAAGGCGACGAUACAUAGCCGACCUGAGAGGGGGAUCGGCCACCCUGGGACUGAGACACGGCCCAGACUCCUACGGGAGGCAGCAGUAGGGAAUCUUCGGCAAUGGACGGAAGUCUGACCGAGCAACGCCGCGUGAGUGAAGAAGGUUUUCGGAUCGUAAAGCUCUGUUGUAAGAGAAGAACGAGUGUGAGAGUGGAAAGUUCACACUGUGACGGUAUCUUACCAGAAAGGGACGGCUAACUACGUG